rnacentral:rRNA from 1 species
AGAGCGAACGCUGGCGGCAGGCCUAAUACAUGCAAGUCGAACGGACCCUUCGGGGUUAGUGGCGGACGGGUGAGUAACACGUGGGAACGUGCCCUUUGGUUCGGAACAACUCAGGGAAACUUGAGCUAAUACCGAAUGUGCCCUUCGGGGGAAAGAUUUAUCGCCAUUGGAGCGGCCCGCGUCUGAUUAGCUAGUUGGUGAGGUAAAGGCUCACCAAGGCGACGAUCAGUAGCUGGUCUGAGAGGAUGAUCAGCCACACUGGGACUGAGACACGGCCCAGACUCCUACGGGAGGCAGCAGUAGGGAAUCUUGCGCAAUGGGCGAAAGCCUGACGCAGCCAUGCCGCGUGAAUGAUGAAGGUCUUAGGAUUGUAAAAUUCUUUCAGCGGGGACGAUAAUGACGGUACCCGCAGAAGAAGCCCCGGCUAACUUCGUGCCAGCAGCCGC